GACGAACGCUGGCGGCGUGCUUAACACAUGCAAGUCGAACGAUGAAGCCGGAGCUUGCUCCGGUGGAGUAGUGGCGAACGGGUGAGUAACACGUGAGCAAUCUGCCCUUGACUCUGGGAUAACUGCGGGAAACUGUAGCUAAUACCGGAUACGACACCUUGGGGCAUCCCAGGGUGUGGAAAGAACUUCGGUCAAGGAUGAGCUCGCGGCCUAUGAGCUAGUUGGUGGGGUAAGGGCUCACCAAGGCGACGACGGGUAGCCGGCCUGAGAGGGUGACCGGCCACACGGGAACUGAGACACGGUCCAGAAUCCUACGGGAGGCAGCAGUGGGGAAUAUUGCACAAUGGGCGAAAGCCUGAUGCAGCAACGCCGCGUGAGGGAUGAAGGCCUUCGGGUUGUAAACCUCUUUUAGCAGGGAAGAAGCGAAAGUGACGGUACCUGCAGAAAAAGCACCGGCUAACUACGUGCCAGCAGCCGCAGUAA
rnacentral:rRNA from 1 species